rnacentral:rRNA from 1 species
AACCAGGAUUGCCCCAGUAACGGCGAGUGAAGCGGCAACAGCCCACACUGAAAAUCGCUUCGGCGAGUUGUACAGUGAAGACGUAGCUCUUGCGGAAGGCGGCCUCUGUAACUUCCUUGGAACAGGAGACCAGAGAGGGUGAUAGUCCCGUGCCAGAGGCUGCUGAUCGAUAGAGCGCGUUCUAAGAGUCGGGUAGUUUGG